rnacentral:rRNA from 1 species
GCCUACGGGAGGCAGCAGUCGGGAAUAUUGCGCAAUGGAGGAAACUCUGACGCAGUGACGCCGCGUGCAGGAAGAAGGUUUUCGGAUUGUAAACUGCUUUAGACAGGGAAGAAACAAGACAGUACCUGUAGAAUAAGCUCCGGCUAACUACGUGCCAGCAGCCGCGGUAAUACGGAGGAUGCGAGCGUUAUCCGGAUUUAUUGGGUUUAAAGGGUGCGCAGGCGGCACGGCAAGCCGGCGGUCAAAUCGCGGGGCUCAACCCCGCCCAGCCGUCGGAACUGCCGGGCUAGAGUGGGCGGGAAGUG